GCCAAUGAUGAAGAUAUUGUAGUUAACCGAAAUGCAAUGUUUUGCAUUUCUCUGUGGAAAAUUUUGAACUAGGACGGUCUGAGGC